CAGACAACUUAUGAAAACAGAACACACAGUCUUAAAAUAGAAUGUAGACCUAAAACACCUAAAAACACUUAACUUUGUAAGAUUGUAACAAAAAUUAAUACAAAUGGAGUUGAUAGCUCUAAUGUAGUGGUGGACCCAAAAGCCAUAUUAGUACUAGCAAAAGGGCAGAAUUCACACAGUAUCAUAGUUGUUCUGCAAGAGCUUUGGCACCUAGUCAUGUCCAAAGCAGAUAUAAAACUCCCUCAGCCACCUGAAGGACAGUGUUGCAG
rnacentral:lncRNA from 1 species